rnacentral:rRNA from 1 species
UGAGGAAUAUUGGUCAAUGGGCGAGAGCCUGAACCAGCCAAGUAGCGUGCAGGAUGACGGCCCUAUGGGUUGUAAACUGCUUUUAUGCGGGGAUAAAGUGAGGGAUGCAUCCCUUUUUGCAGGUACCGCAUGAAUAAGGACCGGCUAAUUCCGUGCCAGCAGCCGCGGUAAUACGGAAGGUCCGGGCGUUAUCCGGAUUUAUUGGGUUUAAAGGGUGCGCAGGCGGACUCGUCAAGUCAGCGGUAAAAAAUUCGGGGCUCAACCCCGUCCUGCCGUUGAAACUGCGAGACUGGAGUGCGACAGAGGAAGGCGGAAUGCGAGGUGUAGCGGUGAAAUGCAUAGAUAUCGCGCAGAACUCCGAUUGCGAAGGCAGCCUUCCAUGUCGUGACUGACGCUGAGGCACGAAAGCGUGG